rnacentral:rRNA from 1 species
CCUACGGGAGGCAGCAGUGGGGAAUUUUGGACAAUGGGCGCAAGCCUGAUCCAGCCAUGCCGCGUGAGUGAAGAAGGCCUUCGGGUUGUAAAGCUCUUUCGGCCGGGACGAAAUCGCAUGCGUGAAUAUCGUGUGUGGAUGACGGUACCGGAAUAAGAAGCACCGGCUAACUACGUGCCAGCAGCCGCGGUAAUACGUAGGGUGCGAGCGUUAAUCGGAAUUACUGGGCGUAAAGCGUGCGCAGGCGGUUUCGUAAGCCAGAUGUGAAAUCCCCGGGCUUAACCUGGGAACUGCAUUUGGGACUGCGAGGCUAGAGUACGGCAGAGGGAGGUGGAAUUCCACGUGUAGCAGUGAAAUGCGUAGAUAUGUGGAGGAACACCGGAUGGCGAAGGCAGCCUCCUGGGCUAGUACUGACGCUCAUGCACGAAACGCGUGGGGAGCAAACAGGAUUAGAUACCCUGGUAGUCCACGCCCUAAACGAUGACAACUAGUUGUUGGGGAUUUAACAUCCUUAGUAACGCANCACGACGUGAGUAGUCGUCCGUCGGNGGUACGGUCGCGAGAGUAAACGUAACGAAAGAAGUAGUACGACGUGAGACGAGACGACGGACGACGACGAGGGAGGAGG